AUGAUCUAUGGGUCUACUGGAGCUACCCACUUCGAUCAAUUAGCCAAGAUUUUGACCAGAUACGAAAUCACUGGUGCUCGAUCUAGUGGUAUUUUUAUGGGGAUUCUUUUUAUCGCUGUAGGAUUCCUAUUCAAGAUUACUGCAGUUCCUUUUCGGGCGCUUCCCAGAGAUAUCUAUGAGGGUUCACCCACCCCGGUGACAGCAUUCCUUUCUAUUGCGCCUAAAAUCUCUAUUUCUGCAAAUAUGUCACGUGUUUCUAUUGUUGCUUCCUAUGGGGGUACAUUACAACAAAUCUUCUUUUUCUGCAGCAUUGCUUCUAUGAUCUUAGGAGCACUGGCCGCCAUGGCCCAAACGAAAGUCAAAAGACCUCUAGCUCAUAGUUCGAUUGGACAUGUAGGUUAUAUUCGUACUGGUUUCUCAUGUUGA
rnacentral:rRNA from 1 species